CCGAAUGAUCCUCAGUGGUCUGGGGUGCAGGCUUCAAACCUGUAGCUGUCUAGCGACAGAGUGGUU
rnacentral:tRNA from 1 species